rnacentral:lncRNA from 1 species
GGCCCGGUCCGCCCGGCACGGCCUCGGGCCGAGCGCCGCUGGGGCAGCACUUGCCAGAAGGCAUAUUGAAAAAGUGAAUGGAAUGCUUAGGCGUCUGGACUCCACGAUGCAGGUGCAGGCCUGGCUGCUGUGACCAAGGCAGUCACUCCUAGCACAGGCUUGAUGCAGCACACCCCACUGGACACAGGCCCCCGUGUUACGGCCACCGGAACAGCCUGUGAUACACUGCACGUUUGUGAUCAGCUCCAUCCUUUCCUCAGAGUGUCCCAAGUUCCUGUGACUCAGGCCACGGCCCCCCCCCAGCAAAUCUUGUCUAUGUUCUAAGCAAUGUCCAAAGGAGUCAGUGGCUCGCCUUUCCCGGACAGGAGACAGAACAGACAGAACGCGGCUGGUGUGCUGCAACUUGGAAGGAGGAAGAGCCAAUUCCUGGCCUCUGGGGGGAGCCUCAUGAAGCAACUCACCAACAGCAUCUGACUUCGCCCUCAUGCCAGCCUGGCAGAUGGGCAGAUGUGGCCCACGGUCCCAUUUGUGGGUGAUACUUUCAAACGCUUCUUGCAUGAAUUGUUUUCUUCAUCAUGUCCAGAUCAAUGGGACCAUGUUCAAGUGUCCAGGUCAGGUAGGACUCUGGGGACUUCCACACAGCCAGGUACACAGGGCAGAGGGCAGCCCCAGGAAGUCCGGGCUGGAGGCUGUUUCAGCCACUUUUCAUGCGAGGGUCACAGAGUGAGUCUAUGUUCCAUCUUGUCCUGCUGUUCUUGUUACAGAAAUGGGCUUCCUAUCUCCAUCACCUUGAUUUGCCAGCCAGUGUCAGGGUUUGGGUCUGGAUGUUCCCCCAAAGCCUCAUUUGGUCAGAGGUGGCUGAACCUGAAAUGUGUGACGCUGGAGUGAAGGGCCUGUGAUUUCUAAACCACUACACAUGAGUGAUUGGUUUGACACCACCCUAGCCCUGGUAGUCUGAAUGGGAUAAAAGGGGCAGAAAGACUCUGUUAAGGUCCCUUGUUGCUUUUGUUACCUUCUGGUCACCAUGAACUGCUUCCCUUGUUGCUUUUGCUACUUUGUGUGCACCAUGUUGUCCCUGUCUUGGGGCCAACCAACUAUGAACUGAACCUUCUAUAAACUGUAAGCCAAAUAAACCCCUUCCCCUUUAACUUUUGGUGCUAGGUAUUUCGUCUCAGCAACGAGAGAAAAGUAACGAACACAACCAGA